GACGAACGCUGGCGGCGUGCUUAACACAUGCAAGUCGAACGGAAAGGCCCUGCUUUUGUGGGGUGCUCGAGUGGCGAACGGGUGAGCAACACGUGAGUAACCUGCCCUUGACUUUGGGAUAACUUCAGGAAACUGGGGCUAAUACCGGAUAGGAGCUCCUGCUGCAUGGUGGGGGUUGGAAAGUUUCGGCGGUUGGGGAUGGACUCGCGGCUUAUCAGCUUGUUGGUGGGGUAGUGGCUUACCAAGGCUUUGACGGGUAGCCGGCCUGAGAGGGUGACCGGCCACAUUGGGACUGAGAUACGGCCCAGACUCCUACGGGAGGCAGCAGUGGGGAAUAUUGCACAAUGGGCGGAAGCCUGAUGCAGCAACGCCGCGUGCGGGAGGACGGCCUUCGGGUGGUAAACCGCUUUCGCCUGUGACGAAGCGUGAGUGACGGGAAUGGGUAAAGAAGCACCGGCUAACUACGU
rnacentral:rRNA from 1 species